rnacentral:rRNA from 1 species
AACGAACGCUGGCGGCGUGCCUAACACAUGCAAGUCGAGCGCGAAAAGGGCAACCUGAGUAGAGCGGCGCACGGGUGCGUAACACGUGGGUAAUCUGCCUUAGAGUCGAGGAUAACCUUCCGAAAGGUUGGCUAAUACUCGGUAAGCUUACGGUGUCUUCGGACGCUGUGGGAAAAGUAGGCCUCUGUUUACAAGCUUACGCUCUGAGAUGAGCCCGCGCGCCCAUCAGCUAGUUGGCGGUGUAACGGACCACCAAGGCAACGACGGGUAGCUGGUCUGAGAGGACGAUCAGCCACACUGGAACUGAGACACGGUCCAGACUCCUACGGGAGGCAGCAGUGGGGAAUUUUCCACAAUGGGCGAAAGCCUGAUGGAGCAACGCCGCGUGUGUGAUGAAGGUUUUCGGAUCGUAAAGCACUUUCGACUGGGACGAAAAACCUUUGGCUAACAUCCAGGGGCCUGACGGUACCAGGAGAAGAAGCACCGGCUAACUCUGUGCCAGCCGCCGCGGUAA